rnacentral:misc_RNA from 1 species
UUUCCGUAGGUGAACCUGCGGAAGGAUCAUUAGUGAAUUAGGGUGUACCUUUGUCAUAAAGGGAACCCGAAAUCUACACUUUUUUUCAUACACCUGUGCAUUUGACCCUUUUUUACCUUGACACUUGUGUUUAUGUAAAGUCAGUUGUGAAAUUAGUUGAUAACGAAAGUAAAACUUUCAGCAAUGGAUCUCUUGGCUCUCGCAUCGAUGAAGAACGCAGC